UAUCCCAUUCUUUGACUUCCAGGUGCCCAAUUGUGUAGAGGCAAGAAAUAUGCUGUAUUCACUCUUGGUAUAUUUCUCGCCUCUACCAAUUGAGCAUCUAGGACUCCGCAUCUGUCCCCU
rnacentral:precursor_RNA from 15 species